rnacentral:sRNA from 1 species
AAAACUACUCCUUUCGAAAAUGAGAAGUACAUGCUACUUAUAGCCAAAUAUCCCGAAACCCUAAUACUCAAAACGACGAAGUAUUUGGACGGGUUAAGAACUGUACUCGACCAACGUGGUCGAGUGAGAGCUCGAGUGAAUAGCUGGAGUCUUCUUUUCUUCCUUGUGCUCGAGUGUCUGGUUGAGUGCGGAAUGAAGAAGGCUCUGAAGCUUGUCAUCGAGUAUGCAGUCGAGUGGUGUGAUGGAGAUACUCGACCUCUAGGUAGAGUGAGGAGGUCGAGUGGUUGUCUGAUGAUGGAGGUGAAGACACUCGACCUCAAGGUCGAGUGAAGUGAUCGAGUGACCGUGUGGUGAUGGAGAUGAUGGCACUCGACCUCGGGGUCGAGUGGUGAGGUGAAGUGGUGAUGUGCUCUACUCGACCUGGUUGUCGAGUGGUCUCUUGAGAUCUUGAAGCUCCUACUCGACCUCUGGGUCGAGUGGUUUGUCAUGAUCAGGUCUGCUUCUUCCAGAUAGCUCGUCAACAGCUCCAAAUCACCUGAAAUCAACGCAAAUAUGCAACAUGCAUGCAAAACUAUCCUAAACAUGCAAAGUGAUGACAAAUGAUGUGAAAUGGUAUAAAACAGUGAUGAUAUGAUGCUAAAGUGAUGACAAAUGGAUGCUCAAAACAUGCAAAAUACACACUUAUUAGUAAUGCCCUUACUAAAGCAUAAAGCUCUUUGUCAUAGGUAGGAUAGUUGAGAGUAGCUCCUCCAAGCUUUUCACUGAAAUAAGCUAUUGGCUUCUUAUCCUGCAUUAAGACAGCACCAAUUCCUACCCCGGAGGCAUCACAUUCAAUUUCAAAAGUUUUAAGAAAAUCAGGAAGUGAUAAAACAGGGGCAUGAGUAAGCUUCUCUUUUAGGGCCUGGAAAGCAUCUUCUUGAGCUUGUUCCCACUUGAAUCCAACAUUUUUCUUAAUAACUUCGGUGAGUGGAGCUGCUAGAGUGCUAAAGUCCUUCACAAACCUCCUAUAGAAACCAGCAAGUCCAUGGAAGCUCCUCACUUCCCCUACAGAUUUAGGACUUGGCCAUUCUCGAAUUGCCUUCACCUUCUCUUCGUCAACUUUAACUCCAUCUGUACUCACAACAAAACCUAGGAAGACAAGGUUAUCUGUUCCAAAAGUACAUUUCUUAAGAUUGGCAUAAAGCUUUUCCUUCCUAAGUACUUCUAAAACCAUUUUCAAAUGUUCAACAUGCUCUUCUAGACUCUUGCUGUAAACUAGGAUGUCAUCAAAAUAAACAA